rnacentral:rRNA from 1 species
GACGAACGCUGGCGGCGUGCUUAACACAUGCAAGUCGAACGGAAAGGCCCUGCGCUUGCGGGGGGCUCGAGGGGCGAACGGGUGAGUAACACGUGAGUAACCUGCCCGUGACUUUGGGAUAACUUCAGGAAACUGGGGAUAAUACCGGAUAGGAGAUCCGGGGGCAUGGAGGGGGUUGGAAAGUUUCGGCGGUUGGGGAUGGACUCGCGGCUUAUCAGCUUGAUGGUGGGGUAGUGGCUUAACAAGGCUCUGACGGGUAGCCGGCCUGAGAGGGUGACCGGCCCCAUUGGGCCAGGGGUGCCGCCCAUACGCCUUCGUGCGGCAGCGGUGGGAACUUUUGCCCACUGGGCCGAGGCCUGGUGCAGGGCCGCCGCGUUCGGAAUGGCGGCCUUCGGGUAAUAAACCGCUUUCGCCUGUGCCGACGCGUGAGUGCCGGACCUGGGUAAAGAGGCACCGCCUACCUCCUU